rnacentral:rRNA from 1 species
GACGAACGCUGGCGGCGUGCUUAACACAUGCAAGUCGAACGGUGAAAGGGAGCUUGCUCCCUGGAUCAGUGGCGAACGGGUGAGUAACACGUGGGCAACCUGCCCCAGACUUCGGGAUAACGCUUCGAAAGAGGUGCUAAUACCGGAUACGAACUCCUUGGGCAUCCUUGGAGUUGGAAAGUUUUUCGGUCUGGGAUGGGCCCGCGGCCUAUCAGCUUGUUGGUGAGGUAACGGCUCACCAAGGCGACGACGGGUAGCCGGCCUGAGAGGGCGACCGGCCACACUGGGACUGAGACACGGCCCAGACUCCUACGGGAGGCAGCAGUGGGGAAUAUUGCGCAAUGGGCGAAAGCCUGACGCAGCAACGCCGCGUGAGGGAUGACGGCCUUCGGGUUGUAACCCUCUUUCAGCAGGGAAGAAGCGAAAGUGACGGUACCUGCAGAAGAAGCACCGGCUAACUACGUGCCAGCAGCCGCUGUAA